rnacentral:rRNA from 1 species
UACAGAGGUCCCGAGCGUUGUUCGGAUUCAUUGGGCGUAAAGGGUGCGUAGGCGGUUUUUUAAGUUGUAUGUGAAAUCCCGGGGCUUAACCCUGGAAUUGCAUUGAAUACUGAAGAACUAGAGUACUGGAGAGGAAACUGGAAUUUACGGUGUAGCAGUGAAAUGCGUAGAGAUCGUAAGGAAGACCAGUGGCGAAGGCGAGUUUCUGGACAGUUACUGACGCUGAGGCACGAAGGCCAGGGGAGCAAACGGG